GAUGAACGCUAGCGGCAGGCCUAAUACAUGCAAGUCGAGGGGCAGCACGGGUAGCAAUCUCUGGUGGCGACCGGCGCACGGGUGCGUAACACGUAUCCAAUCUGCCUUUUACAGGGGGAUAGCCUUUCGAAAGAGAGAUUAAUACCCCAUAACACUAGAUUUUGCAACACAUUCAGUUGAAAGCUCCGGCGUUAAAAGAUGAGUAUGCGUCCUAUUAGCUAGUUGGUGAGGUAACUGCUCACCAAUGCUACGAUAGGUAGGGGAUCUGAGAGGGCUACCCCCCACACUGGGACUGGGCCACGGACCAGACUCCUACGGGAGGCAGCAGUAAGGAAUAUUGGUCAAUGGAGGCAACUCUGAACCAGCCAUGCCGCGUGCAGGAAGACGGUCCUAUGGAUUGUAAACUUCUUUUAUACAGGAAGAAACAGCUCUACGUGUAGAGUCUUGACGGUACUGUAGGAAUAAGGAUCGGCUAACUCCGUGCCAGCCGCCGCCGUAA
rnacentral:rRNA from 1 species